CCGGCACGGGUGAGUAACACGUAUCCAACCUGCCGUCUACUCUUGGCCAGCCUUCUGAAAGGAAGAUUAAUCCAGGAUGGCAUCAUGAGUUCACAUGUCCGCAUGAUUAAAGGUAUUUUCCGGUAGACGAUGGGGAUGCGUUCCAUUAGAUAGUAGGCGGGGUAACGGCCCACCUAGUCAACGAUGGAUAGGGGUUCUGAGAGGAAGGUCCCCCACAUUGGAACUGAGACACGGUCCAA
rnacentral:rRNA from 1 species